CUAAGGAUGGUUCUUCAGAAGCUUGCUUCUAUCGAACUGUUUUAGAAACAUCAGUGGCCAACGGUCGUCAGGAUCGUUGAGCUGCAUUGGCGGGAUUUCGCCGUCUUCGUUUCUCUUUCUUCGCGGACGAACACGCGCUGGGGCUGCAAUCUUGCAGAAUCCCUGGUCCUUGACUGGAUAUGCGUUAGGGGCUUGUAGCUCAGUUGGUUAGAGCGCGCGCUUGAUAAGCGUGAGGUCGGAAGUUCAAGUCUUCCCAGGCCCACCACACUCAUCGAGUGAGCAUUCGUCUUCUGGUUACGGGGCCAUAGCUCAGCUGGGAGAGCGCGUGCUUUGCAAGCAUGAGGUCGUCGGUUCGAUCCCGUCUGGCUCCACCAGAUGGUUUGAUCACCGACUGCUCGUGCAUCUAGAUCGUCCGCGAAACAUCACUUCGCACUUACUAGUCCGGAUGGACAGUAAGCUGCGGGAUUUCUGACAUCGUAAAGAGGAGAUCGAUCCGAGUUGGAUCGUACAGAAGCAUUUCUGUGCGAGACUUCAUUAUCUCCGGAUCAUUUCGGCGCUCGUGCGUCUUCCAGGGUAGCUCACAAGGCUGCGUCUGAAGGACAAGCGAGUUGUAAAUGAUCCUUUUAGCGAAGCUUGACCGCCUCGCUAUCGGAACGAUCUUACGAAGCAAGCUGGUCUUUCUAAUCAUUGUCCGGCUGCAGAUAGCGUUCAUCGAGGGCGCGUGCCGCAAGGUAAUUCUGCAGACAACAUUCUGCCGAGUGUGUGGACAUUGAUAAUGAGAGC
rnacentral:tRNA from 2 species